rnacentral:rRNA from 1 species
GUGGGGAAUAUUGGGCAAUGGGCGAAAGCCUGACCCAGCAACGCCGCGUGAGGGAAGAAGGUUUUCGGAUUGUAAACCUCUGUCCUUGGUGACGAACACAAUGACGGUAGCCAAGGAGGAAGCCCCGGCUAACUACGUGCCAGCAGCCGCGGUAAUACGUAGGGGGCAAGCGUUGUCCGGAAUGACUGGGCGUAAUGGGCGGGUAGGCGGACGAUUAAGUCUGGAGUGAAAGUCCUGCUUUCAAGGUGGGAAUUGCUUUUGAGACUGGUUGGCUUGAGGGCGGAAGAGGCAAGUGGAAUUCCCAGUGUAGCGGUGAAAUGCGUAGAGAUUGGGAGGAACACCAGUGGCGAAGGCGACUUGCUGGGCCGUAACUGACGCUGAGGCGCGAAAGCGUGGGGAGCGAACAGGAUUAGAAACCCUGGUAGUCC